GGGGGAUAUUGCGCAAUGGGGGCAACCCUGACGCAGCAACGCCGCGUGAAGGAUGAAGGUUUUCGGAUUGUAAACUUCUUUUAUUAAGGACGAAACUUGACGGUACUUAAUGAAUAAGCUCCGGCUAACUACGUGCCAGCAGCCGCGGUAAUACGUAGGGAGCAAGCGUUGUCCGGAUUUACUGGGUGUAAAGGGUGCGUAGGCGGCUUUGCAAGUCAGAUGUGAAAUCUAUGGGCUCAACCCAUAAACUGCAUUUGAAACUGUAGAGCUUGAGUGAAGUAGAGGCAGGCGGAAUUCCCCGUGUAGCGGUGAAAUGCGUAGAGAUGGGGAGGAACACCAGUGGCGAAGGCGGCCUGCUGGGCUUUAACUGACGCUGAGGCACGAAAGCGUGGGUAGCAAAC
rnacentral:rRNA from 1 species